CUGCAGGGAACAGUCAUAUGAGGCUGAACCACAAAGUGAAAGUAUUUUCUUAGCUUGUGAGAUUUGCCACCUGGACUGGACUAUAGGGAGAUUGGAAUCAAAUUGAGAAAGGCCUUAACAUGGCGUUGGUCUUCAGCUUGUCCACUCUCAUGUUUCUCAUCACUGGGACUGAGACAUCCAAAAGUCUAAGUCAGGGCCCAGAGUUGAAGCCGGUUAUCCAGGUGGACUCUGGGAAGGAUGCAGUCCUAGAGUGCUCUGUGAACAUCAGUGAGAAAUCCCCUGGUUGCAGCUGAACCCAAAAUAUCAGCUUUCCGUGCCACCUGCCAAUGAGAAAGACAACGUUGUGUCCCUGUUGGUCAAAGAAACCCAGCCUGAAGACGAGGGUCCGUAUGAGUGUGUGGUGAACACUGACAGUGGAAUCACAAAUUGUAACUUCAUGCCGAAGGUCACAGGUAACCUCACAGGUCAGCUCACAGUUAACCUCACAGGUCAGCUCACAGGUAACCUCACAGGUCAGCUCACAGGUAACCUCACAGGUCAGCUCACAGGUCAGCUCACAGGUAACCUCACAGGUCAGCUCACAGGUCAGCUCACAGGUCAGCUCAAAGCUUUUGGAGUCCAACGUUUAUAGGUAGGGCCCUGAGUAUUUCCCAGUCAGGAAAAACUAAGGGCUUUACACAGUUUUGAAUUCAAAGUGCCUUCCUCACACCCUAACACUGACCAUUUAGUAUUCUCCUUUUUGCAUCAUGAUUUCCACUGUGCAGAGGAUCCAUCAAGAAUUUGUGCUUUCGUCACAUUAACCUCUAUUAGUAUCCAAUAUAAAUUGACUUACCCUACCAACAUGACCUUAUUGAUUGCAUACCUGAAUGUGACGUGCUUUUCAAUUAUAUUGAUUCUGAUUUUGUGUGUUACAGUACGAGACCAGCACCAGGGUCCUGGAAAUGUUGCGGAUAAACAGGAGAUUCCAAAGAACAGUUACAUGAGUGUGGCUGCUGUAUGUGUGGCAGUAGGCUCUCUUGCCAUUGGACUGCUGCUUCUCAAGCUGUUUCAAGCCAGAAGACUCAGACAAGGUGAGCACCCAGGGUCAUGUCCAUUAGGGCACACUGUUGCAAAAUGCUUCAAGAUGUUAUUCAGAUAGUUCCUCCCCAUUUCAGACUGCUUCUUUCCAUUUCAUGACCCUGCUUUUCACAGUCUCCGCAGAAAGACUGUGUCUGGGAAGAUUAGUUAAGUACUUCCUGUCCUAGCUAAAUGCCAUGAUAUUUUUUUCUUUUAUUUGACCCUUAUUUAACUAGGCAAGUCAGUUAAGAACUAAUUCUAAUUUUCAAUGAUGGCCUAGGAACAGUGGGUUAACUGCCUGUUCAGGGGCAGAACGACAGAUUUGUACCUUGUCAGCUCAGGGGUUUGAACUUGCAACCUUUCAGUUAUUAGUCCAACACUCUAACCACUAGGCUACCACCCCCAAUAGAAUAAGUGGAAUGGAGAACUAACUGCUCAGACAAGAGGACUGAACUUAGUUUUUGAAUUGUUUUAGUUUCUCUAUUGCUGUCCUCCUUCCCAGAUAGGAAUUCAGGAUUUGUUAUUGUAUUGUCAGUGAGUGAUAAAUCACAAACCAUGGUAGAGCACACAGUAUCAACCCUUGUAAAAGGUUGCUUCUGGUUUCUCUUUCCAUAUGAACCCUUGAUACAAGAGGACUCUGUUGUGCCAGAAGGUAUGUUUGAGUAUGUUAUUUGUCUACCUAAUGGAAGAGGAUUCCUGUCCAAACUAUCAAAGUGUAUCAAAUGUCUGUAAAAUGCACUUUAUAAAAUGUCUCACCAACCACCAGGAGGCCCAGCACAAGAACACUAGGCUACCCUGGGGCGGCAGGGUAGGAAUUUGUUCUUAACUGACUUGCCUAGUUAAAUAGAAAAAAUAAGUGUUCCUAUUGUCCCCUAUGGAACCAGAGCCUCAGGAUACAGCCGUCCCAGCAGAGCACAACCCAAGCACCAGGACAGGACCGUUUCCGUAAGCGACAGAUGUAUUAUCAGGGGUGCCAUGUCUGCUCUGUCUCUCACGUCACAUCGCUAACUGAAUGUGAAUGCUUUGACUGGAGGAGGGAGCAAUCUGGCUCAACACUAUUCUGUUCCCCCUCUGCAGGAGAAAUGGAGUGCACGCAUUGUCCUGCUACCAAGCUAAUUGUUAGCAGCAUUGUCUGUAGUUGUUAAUCACACCAGACUAUUCUUUCAUAAUUGUUUUAUAUAUUGUAACUAAAACUGAAACAAAUGCACAUAUUUAGUGGACAUUGAUUUGACAGUGAAGACACUCGUGUGAUACAGUAGCAGUGUGUGAAAUUGAUCUUGACAGAACACAUUUACUUUGUGCAUCACAAUUUGAAUAAGUAAUUUAUUCAGAAGCCAAUAUUGUGUUUUAGUUCAUUUGAGAGUUGCUUUAGUUGACAAAUGCCAUGUUUUUUAUUGUUACAAAGUGGGAUUCAUAUGUAUUUAAUUGUCAUUUUUUUUGUAAACAAUCUACAUAAUAUACUCUGUCAAAGUGGAAGAAAAAAUAACACAAAAAAAGUGUAGCGACCCGAACAGCUGUGUUAUGUAUUAUGCUGUUGGUUGUGUUGUACUUACCAGUACGCAGUGUUCGCAGGGUCCCACAUGCCAGUCAAUCUGCUAUUGUGUCCUUUACCAUUUGUACAUUGUUAAACAAAACACUGUGUAUAUAUAUAUAUAUAAUAUGACAUUUGUAAUGUCUUUAUUGUUUUGAAACUUCUGUAUGUGUGAUGUUUACUGUUAAUUUUUAUUGUUUAUUUCACUUUAUAUAUGAUCUGCCUCACUUGCUUUGGCAAUGUUAACACGUUUCCCAUGCCAAUAAAGCCCUUGAAUUGAA